rnacentral:rRNA from 1 species
GAUGAACGCUGGCGGCGUGCCUAAUACAUGCAAGUCGAGCGAACGGACGAGAAGCUUGCUUCUCUGAUGUUAGCGGCGGACGGGUGAGUAACACGUGGAUAACCUACCUAUAAGACUGGGAUAACUUCGGGAAACCGGAGCUAAUACCGGAUAAUAUUUUGAACCGCAUGGUUCAAAAGUGAAAGACGGUCUUGCUGUCACUUAUAGAUGGAUCCGCGCUGCAUUAGCUAGUUGGUAAGGUAACGGCUUACCAAGGCAACGAUGCAUAGCCGACCUGAGAGGGUGAUCGGCCACACUGGAACUGAGACACGGUCCAGACUCCUACGGGAGGCAGCAGUGGGGAAUCUUCCGCAAUGGGCGAAAGCCUGACGGAGCAACGCCGCGUGAGUGAAGAAGGUCUUCGGAUCGUAAAACUCUGUUAUUAGGGAAGAACAUAUGUGUAAGUAACUGUGCACGUCUUGACGGUACCUAAUCAGAAAGCCACGGCUAACUACGUG